GUUUAAAUAGUUUAAUAAAAAAAAAUUUUGAUUUGUGGUGUCAAAGAUGUAUAAGUUACUUUAAACC
rnacentral:tRNA from 1 species